GACGAACGCUGGCGGCGUGCCUAAUACAUGCAAGUAGAACGCACAGUUUAUACCGUAGCUUGCUACACCAUAGACUGUGAGUUGCGAACGGGUGAGUAACGCGUAGGUAACCUGCCUGGUAGCGGGGGAUAACUAUUGGAAACGAUAGCUAAUACCGCAUAAUAUUAAUUAUUGCAUGAUAAUUAAUUGAAAGGUGCAAUUGCACCACUACCAGAUGGACCUGCGUUGUAUUAGCUAGUAGGUGAGGUAACGGCUCACCUAGGCGACGAUACACAGCCGACCUGAGAGGGUGAUUGGCCACACUGGGACUGAGACACGGCCCAGACUCCUACGGGAGGCAGCAGUAGGGAAUCUUCGGCAAUGGACGAAAGUCUGACCGAGCAACGCCGCGUGAGUGAAGAAGGUUUUCGGAUCGUAAAGCUCUGUUGUAAGAGAAGAACGGGUGUGAGAGUGGAAAGUUCACACUGUGACGGUAUCUUACCAGAAAGGGACGGCUAACUACGUG
rnacentral:rRNA from 1 species